UAGGUGACCUGCGGAGGGAUCAUUC
rnacentral:rRNA from 1 species